CAAUAGCGUAUAUUAAAGUUGUUGCAGUUAAAAAGCUCGUAGUUGGAUUUCUGGUAGGAGUGACCGUUCCGAACUUGAUUGUUCGUGUAUUGUGUUUUCUCCAGCCAUCCUUGUGGAGAACUUUUCUUGCAUUAAUUUGUAGGGAUUGGGACCCGCAUCGUUUACUGUGAAAAAAUUAGAGUGUUUAAAGCAGGCAAUCGCUUGAAUACAUUAGCAUGGAAUAAUAAGAUAGGACUUUGGUACUAUUUUGUUGGUUUGCAUACCAAAUUAAUGAUCAACAGGAACAGUUUGAGGAUAUUCGUAUGAACAUGUCAGAGGUGAAAUUCUUGGAUCUUGAUCAGACGAACUACUGCGAAAGCAUUUAUCAAGGAUGUUUUCAUUAA
rnacentral:rRNA from 1 species